CAAAGCGGGUGCCAGGAGGGGACUUUCCAGGUGAGCCCGGGAAGGGACGGCGACUCCCCUCCUGUCCCUGCAAACGAGAAUACCAGAAUACUAUUGGAUUGGGGCAAAAAGUCUUGCAAUACCAAGUGUUGGAGAGGAUCUUGUCUCACAAGAGCUCUUAAACAAUGCUUCUAGAAGGAAAAGAUAUACAACCACCAUAGAAAACAACUUGGCACAUAUUAUAUAACUCAGCAAUUCUACUUCCAGAUGGAUCCCAGGUCUUCAGAGGGAAGCAAUCUGAUUAAAUGUAUUGACACUGCA